UGAGGAAUAUUGGUCAAUGGACGAAAGUCUGAACCAGCGACGCCGCGUGUGGGAUGAAGGGGCUUUGCCCUGUAAACCACUGUCGGAAGGGAAAAAAGAAGUAUGAAUUUCUGGGAUUGUACCUUCAAAGGAAGGAUCGGCUAACUACGUGCCAGCAGCCGCGGUAAUACGUAGGAUCCAAGCGUUGUCCAGAUUUACUGGGUGUAAAGGGUGCGUAGGCGGACUCGUGCGUUAGAGGUUAAAUACUUCGGCUCAACCGAAGAAAUGCCUUUAAUACGGCGAGUCUUGAGUGCGAGAGAGGAUAGUAGAAUUCCUGGUGUAGCGGUGAAAUGCGUAGAUAUCAGGAGGAAUACCAGUGGCGAAGGCGGCUAUCUGGCUCGUAACUGACGCUGAGGCACGA
rnacentral:rRNA from 1 species